rnacentral:lncRNA from 1 species
UUUGUAAAAUCACAAGGUUCUGCCUUUUUGCCAGAACUGACCCAAAACAGCACUCCAGGGAACCGGUACUAGGAAAAUUCUGCCCUCUGUAUCUAUUGUUAAGAAGCAACUGCCAUAAUCAAUUUGCUGGAGAGAAGUGGUUCCGUGCUGGCACAGUCUCAAUUAUCUGAUGAACAGAAACGCUAAAAUGGGCUUGUAGGUGGAUUUAACAACCAUUUCAAGACUAUGAAAGAAAUUAUAUUAGAAAGAAUGAAGUCAAAAACAAAAACUUCAGCCUGAGCACAGUGAGUUCCCUAUGACUGAAAACACUCAUUUAUCCUCCCACAUGAGCAGUUUAAUGAGAGGAGCCCACAGGAGCUUACGGAUGUUCACCACCCAUGGUUUCCAUUGCAUUGGUUUCCUCCUGUGGGCCUUCCUCAUAGAGAAGAUGUAUUGGAAUAUAGAGGUAAGAGCUGCUAGCUUUAUUGAAGUCAGACCACCAGGAAGCUAUAAAGGCCAUUCUUAAAAUAAUAUUUUUUCAUCCCAUAGCAAUAUAGUAGUAACACUGCUGAGUCAAUACUCCAGUAUACCCCUCUUGCUAGACUGAUGUUUUGAGGAAGAUGGUGGUGAAGAUGGAAAAGGGGAAUCAGAACCUGGGUCAGGUGCCUCCUUUGGCAAAAGCAGCAAAAUAAAACUUAAAACCAGGGAUUGUUUUCUUGGACGGUGUUACUGUUAACAAGGCUAGAACU